AAGUCAAUGGAUGCUAACAAGUACCUGAAGAAGGUUGGGUUAGGGCGUGACGAUAUGUUUUUUUGGAAACAAGUGGGAAAAGCAUUGCUUUGCACUUACACAAUCUUUGGUAUCGCUUGGAUAUACAAUGAAACGUCUCCUUUGGGUUGGUGGACGUUGAAGCCGAGACCAAAGGAGGAGAGAGAGUUGGCUCAUUUGUAUGAGCGGCGUGAGUUUCCUUAUCCUGGUGAU
rnacentral:lncRNA from 1 species